AGUGAACGCUGGCGGUAGGCCUACACAUGCAAGUCGAACGGCAGCACAGGAGAGCUUGCUCUCUGGGUGGCGAGUGGCGGACGGGUGAGGAAUACAUCGGAAUCUACUUUUUCGGGGGGGAUAACGUAGGGAAACUUACGCUAAUACCGCAUACGACCUACGGGUGAAAGCAGGGGACCUUCGGGCCUUGCGCGAUUGAAUGAGCCGAUGUCGGAUUAGCUAGUUGGCGGGGUAAAGGCCCACCAAGGUGACGAUCCGUAGCUGGUCUGAGAGGAUGAUCAGCCACACUGGAACUGAGACACGGUCCAGACUCCUACGGGAGGCAGCAGUGGGGAAUAUUGGACAAUGGGCGCAAGCCUGAUCCAGCCAUACCGCGUGGGUGAAGAAGGCCUUCGGGUUGUAAAGCCCUUUUGUUGGGAAAGAAAUCCAGCUGGCUAAUACCCGGUUGGGAUGACGGUACCCAAAGAAUAAGCACCGGCUAACUUCGUGCCAGCAGCCGCAGUAA
rnacentral:rRNA from 1 species